rnacentral:rRNA from 1 species
AACGUAGGAGGCAAGCGUUAUCCGGAUUUACUGGGCGUAAAGCGCACGCAGGCGGCUGUGUAAGUCGGACGUGAAAACUCCUGGCUCAACCAGGAGAGGUCGUUCGAAACUGCAUGGCUUGAGGUUGGAAGAGGAGAGCGGAAUUCCCGGUGUAGUGGUGGAAUGCGUAGAUAUCGGGAGGAACACCAGUGGCGAAAGCGGCUCUCUGGUCCACACCUGACGCUCAGGUGCGAAAGCGUGGGUAGCGAAC